rnacentral:tRNA from 2 species
UAGAAUUUGGUGUAUUUGGGAGCACGAAGAGUUUUGAGUUCUUAGGAGUAGGUUCAAUUCCUAUAGUUCUAG